rnacentral:rRNA from 1 species
AACUGAUAUGGAAGCACUCGGUAUUGAUACCCGGAUUAUGGAAACCGGCGGCAAUCCGGUCGGUACAAAGGGUUGCCAAGCCGCGAGGUGGAGCUAAUCCCAUAAAACCGAUCGUAGUCCGGAUCGCAGUCUGCAACUCGACUGCGUGAAGUCGGAAUCGCUAGUAAUCGUGAAUCAGAAUGUCACGGUGAAUACGUUCCCUGGCCUUGUACACACCGCCCUGUCGACGCGGCCG